rnacentral:rRNA from 1 species
GUAGGGAAUAUUGAACAAUGGGGGGAACCCUGAUCCAGCCAUGCCGCGUGGAGGAAGACUGCCCUCUGGGUUGUAAACUCCUUUUAUAUGGGAAGAACCGUCCUCAUUAAUGAGUGACCUGACGGUACCAUAGGAAUAAGCACCGGCUAACUCCGUGCCAGCAGCCGCGGUAAUACGGAGGGUGCAAGCGUUAUCCGGAUUCACUGGGUUUAAAGGGUGCGUAGGCGGAUAAAUAAGUCAGUGGUGAAAUCAACGGGCUCAACCUGUUAACUGCCAUGGAUACUGUGUAUCUUGAAUAUGAGAGAGGUAGGCGGAAUGUUGCAUGUAGCGGUGAAAUGCUUAGAUAUGCUACGGAACACCGAUUGCGAAGGCAGCUUACUAUUUCGUAAUUGACGCUGAGGCACGAAAGCGUGGGUAGCGAACAGGAUUAGAAACCCGGGUAGUCC